UGGGGAAUAUUGCGCAAUGGGGGAAACCCUGACGCAGCAACGCCGCGUGAAGGAUGAAGGCUUUCGGGUUGUAAACUUCUUUAAUGAGGGACGAAAGAAAUGACGGUACCUCAAAAACAAGCCACGGCUAACUACGUGCCAGCAGCCGCGGUAAUACGUAGGUGGCGAGCGUUGUCCGGAAUUACUGGGUGUAAAGGGCGUGUAGGCGGGGAUGCAAGUCAGAUGUGAAAUGCCGGGGCUUAACUCCGGAGCUGCAUCUGAAACUGUGUUUCUUGAGUGUCGGAGAGGAAAGCGGAAUUCCCAGUGUAGCGGUGAAAUGCGUAGAUAUUGGGAGGAACACCAGUGGCGAAGGCGGCUUUCUGGACGAUAACUGACGCUGAGGCGCGAAAGCGUGGGGAGCAAACA
rnacentral:rRNA from 1 species